GCCUUACGGGGUGCAGCAGGCGCGAAACCUUCGCAAUGUGCGAAAGCACGACGAGGUUAUUCCGAGUGAUUUCCGCUGAGGAAAUCUUUUCUCAGAUCUAAAACGUCUGGGGAAUAAGGGGAGGGCAAGUCUGGUGUCAGCCGCCGCGGUAAUACCAGCUCCUCGAGUGGUCAGGGCGUUUAUUGGGCCUAAAGCAUCCGUAGCCGGCUCAGUAGGUCUCCUGUUAAAUCCAACGGCUCAACCGUUGGUCUGCAGGAGAUACCGCUGGGCUAGGAGGCGGGAGAGGCGGACGGUACUCCGAGGGUAGGGGUAAAAUCCUUUGAUCCCCGGAAGACCACCAGUGGCGAAGGCGGUCCGCCAGAACGCGCUCGACGGUGAGGGACGAAGGCUAGGAGAACGAAUCGGAUUAGAUACCCGAGUAGCCCUAGCAGUAAAUCAUGCAGACUGUGGUGUUGCGGUAACCUCGAGUUGCCGCAGUGCUGUAGCGUAGGUGUUAAGUCUGCCACCUGGGGAGUACGGCCGCAAGGUUGAAACUUAAAGGAAUUGGCGGGGGAGCACCACAAGGGGUGAAGCCUGCGGUUCAAUUGGAGUCAACGCCGGGAACCUUACCGGGAGCGACAGCAGAUUGAAGGUCAAGCUGAAGACCUUACCAGACGAGCUGAGAGGAGGUGCAUGGCCGUCGCCAGCUCGUGCCGUGAGGCGUCCUGUUAAGUCAGGCAACGAGCGAGACCCCUACUUUUAAUUGCUACCAGACACCGCAAGAUGUUUGGAGCUAGUUAGAAGACUGCCCGCCGCUAACGCGGAGGAAGGAAUGGGCCACGGCAGUCAGUAUGCCCC
rnacentral:rRNA from 1 species